UGGACCACGGUUGACUACGUGGGAGUCCAGCGACAUAGCCAUUAUGCCAACUGCUGGUCCCAGAGCAUUGAGUUUUAGGUGCUUGUGGAUCACAGAGAAAGGGUGUGUAUGCCUAAUUCUGCUCUGCGAGGUCCUUUGGUCUUCAUAGGUAUUCGAGGUAAGUUUGAGGGCUAGGAAAAGAGAAAGGGGUGAAGUUUCGUGUUUAGAAGAGGCCCUUGCUGUGUGUGAAGUGAACGCACUAGCAGGUAGCACAGAAGGCGAUGCCCACCACUGUGGGAUGGGAUGGGUGGAGGUGGGCCAGCUUGUGCUGCACUGAUGCCCAAGACCGGGUCCCAGCCCUGCCUCCGGCCGGCUAGCUGAGGGCCUGUGCUGAGGCACUGGACCUCAUUUCCUUAGUGGUAGAACCAGGCGGUUGAACUUGGUGGGUCCUGCAAGGUUGGCUGUCAGUACCUUCCGGACCGAUGAGAGUGGGGGAAUUUUCUGCUCAGGCAGGCGGUCUCCUGCUCACCCUCUCCUACCCACCUCAUCUCUUCAUGCUGUUCCUUCCUUUGACCUGGUCCUGCUCUGGCCUGGGCUCAGAAGAGCUCCUUCCUGGGGUGUGUGCUGCAGGUGGAGACGCCAUCCUGGGCUGUCCAUGUCACCGCUGGCUACCAAUUGCUUAGAUGACGGUCAUGUAUUCUGAAGAUAAACGAUAGUUUAAAGCUCAUAAACAUCCUCAUGGCGUGCAUCUCUCCUCAU